GAGGAGGUCCUGGUCCUGGUCCUGGUCCUGUUGAACAGGUGCAGCAGGAUGUGGCGCAUUCCGCCCGGAGCGCAGACCGUCAUCCUGUGACAAUAGAAACCUGCUGCCGGAGUUUCGCCGCUGGAAGAAGUGGUUCGAGUGGAAUUAGAGGGAAAAUUAACGUUUUAAAGUUAAGGAUUUCACCAGAAAGAAGCCACCGUCUCUGUCAUGUAACAUUUAUGGGGCUCCACUGGACCACGACCUGAUGCGAAGAAAGUCGUCCAGACCUGACUGAUAUUUUUUUAUUCCCUGGAAAAUCCGCCAUGCAGGUGCCGGCCGCCCCGCCGGUGCCGCUGCUCGCCUGCGCCGUGCUGUCGCUGCUCACCCUCACGCUGCUGCUGCUGCUGUGCCUCAUCAAGAAGAAGCGGCGGAUGGAGGGAACGUACAGGCCCAGCGCGGAGGAGAGGAAACAGACGGGAGCGGGGUCGGAGAAGCCCGGCCUGCCUCUGCCGCUGCCCAAAGAGGAGCGCCUCAUUUAACCCCCACACGCUCUGCUCAACGGAAGCGGUAACUUCAGCGGUCACGUCGCCUCGGCUCACACGGGCCCGGACGCCGCGGGUUAGACACCGCAAACGCUGUACGUGGUGCACAUUCUUAAACUGAGAGAAAAUGUGUUUGAGUGUGAAAGCUUUGCUGCACUGACUUCCUCUUCUGCGCCACAUGAGCGUGAGGUGCGAUGUGGGUCCCCUCUCUCCAUUCGAAUUAUGUUUUCAUGUACUCUGUAUUUAUGUGAAAAGUAUUGUAUUACUAGUUUUCCUUUGAUGAAGGAUUCUGAUUAAACACUGACUGCACUUUUUUAUUUCUAUGACAUCCAAGAAGCUCAAUUUCAUGAGGAAAAAAAAAUAUAAGAAGACCAGGAUGCGUGGUGUAAAUAAAUCUGUUACUGUGA